GCCCGCUUGGCACAGGGGUACUGCGUAUCGCUCGUAACGAUAAGAUCCGCGGUUCGAUUCCGCGAGUGGGCA